UGAAGAGGUGAAGAAAUCCUUGCUUAUUGAAGAAAUCUCUAAAACUUUUGUAUAAAAACAAGAAUUUAAGCUUUGAGACUGAAACAAAUGCACCCUUCAUACAAUAUCCCCCCACCUAACAUAAACACAGAAUGAUCUCUAAUUGCUGUUUUUUUCUCCCCAAGAUAUCCCUGAUGAAGCAGAUUAUAAACAAGGGCAUUCCAGCUGUGAUCAUUUCACUAUUUCUUCAGGAAGCUGCAUCAGUUCUUACAGACUACUCUUGUCAGAAGUAGAUCCAUGCUUCCUUUGAAGUGAGGAAAAUAAUAAUGGCAGACCCUCAGCUUACACAAGAAAUGAAGAAGUAUGCUGUUAUUGUGAUUAUAAAAGCUGAGCAUGGUGAUUUAGAAAUAUCUCAAAUUUUAAAAGUUGCCUGAUCUUUCAUCUACAAAGUUUGUAAGGAGCUAGAGACUGAAGAUGGAAACGUAUCACCAGUAUCAAAGCAUAAA